GGACUCGUAGCUCAGCGGUUUAGAGCAUCUGAUUUACAUUCAGAGGGUCAGAGGUUCAAAUCCUCUCGAGUCCA
rnacentral:tRNA from 5 species